CUUAUACUUCUUUCGUCUGAAAAUACUUGUCAUCAAAAUGGAUAAAAAAGAUGUAUCUAGAACUAAAAUACGUCUAGAUAUAUCCCCUUUUAUUCAUUCCGAGGACAAGUAUUUCCGGACGGAGGGAGUACGAG
rfam:Triticum aestivum genome assembly, contig: Triticum_aestivum_CS42_TGACv1_scaffold_434391_5DL